rnacentral:lncRNA from 1 species
CAUACAGGCAUUUUUGUAUUGUAGGAUUAACCACAGUUAUGUCUGUUAAAAGUGGCUUAUCUUCUAGUUGUUCUCAAGGACAUCAGCUUCUUCUCUCUCUGUUACAGAGGCAAGGACCAGCCUGACCCAGGACAGCGAUUUUUGGAGGGCACUUGACAUAAACAUUCAUGAGGCUGAGACUGGGGAGGGCCUCCUUGCUCCGAGAAUCCACUUCCAAGUCUAAAAGGAGAAUUUGCCAGUGCCAUAUCAGAACUUUUGGAGGAGGUAUUGAGAGACAAAAGGGAACAAAUCUGGAAUCCUGGAACUACGGGCCAGCAGGCGAAACCAUAAGUGGGAGGAGAGAAGGCUGGGUUUCUGCUCCUGCUCUAACCCUGUUGUGUAAUAUCAUAUUUACUGCUUUCCCUGUGGCUUGUUAAAAGUUCUGAGAUCCUUCACAAUUUGUGCUUCACUUGAAUAUUUGGCUAAAGCAGAGCCGGACCCAGAAGCCCUGAAGUAGAAGAGGAAGGACUGGAUUCUUUUCAUCUGUUCUCAGAACUGGGUGUAAUAACAGCAGCCAUGAUGGUGUUUUGGAGAGCUAUAAAAGCAAAUACAACUUUCAAACGCCCCCGCAAAAGGUUUUUGUAAUAGCAAAGACAUUUCCUGUGCCCGAGUGACCACUCUUCCUGGUGCAGCUCAACCAUCACUGAAGCCAGUUCUACCAUCUCCUUCCUUCUCUUUCUAUAGUCACUGGCCAUGUGGCAGCCAAGGCAGCUCUUUAAAGGAACAUGGUUUAUACUUUGAUUGUAACUCUCUUACUAGAGUGAGAAUGAAAUCCAGAUCCCCCAUUUUUCUCUCCAAGAUCUGACUUGAACUGGCCCAUAUAUACUCCUUCUCUGAUCCUGUUCUGAACACUUUGCUACUUCAGGCACCAUCUACCAGAUGCAGUGGCUUUUUGUUGUCCCAAAAGUAUGUGAGAAUCUUCACUGUCUCAGAACUUGGUACAGUGAAGUCCUGUGCACGGAAAGUGCUCUCCAAUCCUCAGAAGACAGUUUGGUUACUGUGAGAAUUUCCUCUUCUUUCCAUACCCUUUUUCCUGUUGUUACCAUUAUUGUUGCAGUUUUUCUUCUUCUUGUUCCGCUUUGAACUGGACAAGAGGAUGUGUACUUAAUUUUUAAAAGAAUCAUUAGCUAGUAUAUCUUCUGUGCCUAAGACGAAACUUAGUACAUGCCUAGCAAACCCUGCUAAUGGAGAACAGAGAGACCUCCAAGGUAGAUUGUGUGGAUGAAAGUUUAAUCUGGAAUGAACUGAGGAGGGCCUGAGGCUGAGCUGCUGUACUCCAAACUGCUGAUCCGAUUUCCCACACCUUGAACUAGAACACAGGCAUUUUCAAGUCUUGUAAAAUGUGUAGCCUCCAAGAUUCCCUACUCGAAAUGCAAAUAGUCCCUUGAAUUUAUUUCUCAAAGAAAGAUACAGAAUACGUGGAUCAGCUUGGUAUCAGAGGCGGUGAACGACACAACAGAGCCAAAGGCCCACCCGGGAGAGGAAACCCAGGAAGGGAGAAAGGUCUGCAAAGGCCAUGGCAGGAGAAUAACAGCGGUUCUGUUUACAGUGGGAGCAUUUCCGCUUCCCAGGCCACAAAGAGUGGCACUGUUGACCAUCGAGGAUGCACAUUUCCAGGAAUCAGACAGUUCCUUUACUUUACGAAAGAAGAUUCUUGAUAUUUUUGAUUACAGAGAAGUUGGGGAGAAAGAGAGUGGUGUGCGUGCUGAAAAAGAAAGGAAAUGUGCAGAGGUAAGUCCUGCAGUGUGUGCGUCGCUGGGAGAGAUUUGGUAUCUAUAGUGUUGUGGUUACUAUGGUGACAAUGUAUUUUUAAUGACAUCAUUAAAUGGUGGUAUAGCUUCUUGUAACUAAGGGAGCUGUGCAGAACAGCUGUGCUGUUUGGCCUUGGCCUGUCUUUUCUGCAGGAUGGUUUUUUAAUGACUCCAAAAUAAAAGUGCUGGAUAGUGGAGCACUGUUUUGCUAUAUAACCUAUGUAUAUUUUAGAUAUAGCCAGGGCUUUAGAGAAUGUCAGUUCUCUCCAUUUCAGUGCACACAUGCACAUAGAUAUGUAUGUAGAUAAAAACGUACACAUGGGUAUACUUUAUAGACGAAGAGCUAGAUAGAGAGAUAGAGGCAAACUAAGUAGUUUUAAGCUCCUCCUUUAGCUACUGGAGAGUUAGGACAAGCUCUUGGGGAUCCUGACCCCAAACCAAUUUUUUUUCUACCAUUGCCUGCUGCCUGUCCUAAAUAUAGUAUGACACAGCACACAUUGUGUGUGUCUUUCAUACACCAACAUUGGUAAGCAGCCAUGGUAGGACAUACUUAUAGUCCCAGCACUUGGAAGGCAGAGGCAGGCAGAUCGCUGUGUUUGAUAUCAACUUCAUCUAUGAGAGUUCCAGGACAGCCAAGACUGUCUCCAAAGAAAAAAAGUUGGUAAGUAGUUGCCAUGAAUGCAUCCUGGGCUAGACCACAGAGGAAAUAUCCAUUAACACAUGGUAUCAUUGGUAAGAGUCAGAGAUGGAUUUUAAGUGAGCUAUGAGGCCUUUAAAAAUUUCACAAAUGUGUUUUCAUGCACACAUAGUUUGCUUUUUCUUUUCUCCCCACAAUGGCCCUUUCCUCACUUUUCUUCUGGGAUCACAGGUGUGUGUAUUCAAGUGUAUUCUUUAGAGAGUCAUCAAUGGAUCUCUGACUUCACCCCGAUAAAUGAUGACCAUGGUUCUUUCCUCAUUUGUGAACAGAUAUCAUAACUUCAGGGGAAAAGUAAAUGCUAUCUUGAGAAAAAUGCCUAAGAUACCAUGAAGGUUAACGUCCUUGACUAUAAAGCACAUAUAAACCUACAGAAAAUGAGGAUGAAGGGAAUGAAGGGAUUUUUGGAGCAGGAAGUACAAAUGCUAACGAUAAUGAGCACUACUUAUUCUCACUCAUCGCUAACAAAAUGAAAUCAAUUCAGAGUCACCAAUGCUCAUGUAAGGCUAGCACAGUCAUGGACGCAGAGGCCAGACAGGAGGAGUUCCUGCGACUUCACGACGAGUUAAGUUUGGAUAAAAAGUUUGGCAAUUAAAUUAAUCAUAUAGAUUUAAGAGCCUUUAAAAUGUCCACAAACUCACAGAGAUCUACCUGCGUCUGCCUCCAGAGUGCUAGGAUUAAAGGUGUGUGCCACCAACACAUGGAAUUUUUUAAAUGAUACAGUAAGAUGUAAUAAAUAACCAACAUUAUUAAAACUAGAAUUACUUGACCCUGCAGUAAUUUUUGGGCCUAUAUUCUUUAUUUGUUAGUAAUUUUCCAAAAAUUGGAUGUCUCUUUGCUCAAUGAGCUGACUUACUUGAGAGUCCUUAAAACAGAGGAAAGAUUUAGGAGAGGAUUUAAAAGGAAAAAUAAUUCCUGGAAGCUAGAGUAGCAAGACACCAAGGAAGGUACGGAACAAGAAAUUUUGGCAUAUCCCAGCAACACACAGGGAUAUCCAGGGCCCAAGAGAGUGAUUUUUUUUUUUUAAG